UGCCGGAGUGGCGAAAUUGGCAGACGCACUGGAUUCAAAAUCCAGCGGAACGUAUAGUUCCUUGAGGGUUCGAGUCCCUCCUCCGGCAU
rnacentral:tRNA from 1 species